rnacentral:lncRNA from 1 species
AUUGUAAUACCUAGCCCAUUCUCACCAACUCAGCCAUCAGAAAAUAGCCCAAUAUAGGAUGCACGAAGAUUAAAGCAUUGGAAAAAAUAAAAAAAAAAUGAUGGGAAUGAGAGCCUUCUUUCUCUUGAUUUCAUCGAAGAGAAGCCGAUUUUAAGAAGGAUUUGGCUUCCCCUCUGCUCUACUUAAGGACCCCAAACUUGUCUUCCGAUCCCAC